CAGUAGCCGCGGGAAUACGGAGGGUGCAAGCGUUAAUCGGAAUUACUGGGCGUAAAGCGCACGUAGGCGGAUAUUUAAGUCAGGGGUGAAAUCCCGCAGCUCAACUGCGGAACUGCCUUUGAUACUGGGUAUCUUGAGUAUGGAAGAGGUUAGUGGAAUUGCGAGUGUAGAGGUGAAAUUCGUAGAUAUUCGCAGGAACACCAGUGGCGAAGGCGGCUAACUGGUCCAUAACUGACGCUGAGGUGCGAAAGCGUGGGGAGCAAACAGGAUUAGAUACCCGGGUAGUCCCUGUCUCUUAUAA
rnacentral:rRNA from 1 species